GUGGGGAAUCUUGCGCAAUGGGCGAAAGCCUGACGCAGCCAUGCCGCGUGAAUGAUGAAGGUCUUAGGAUUGUAAAAUUCUUUCACCGGGGACGAUAAUGACGGUACCCGGAGAAGAAGCUCCGGCUAACUUCGUGCCAGCAGCCGCGGUAAUACGAAGGGGGCUAGCGUUGCUCGGAAUUACUGGGCGUAAAGGGCGCGUAGGCGGACAGCUUAGUCAGAGGUGAAAGCCCAGGGCUCAACCUUGGAAUUGCCUUUGAUACUGGCUGUCUUGAGUUUGGGAGAGGUGAGUGGAACUCCGAGUGUAGAGGUGAAAUUCGGAGAUAUUCGGAAGAACACCAGUGGCGAAGGCGACUCACUGGCCCAAUACUGACGCUGAGGCGCGAAAGCGUGGGGAGCAAACAGGAUUAGAUACCCCAGUAGUCC
rnacentral:rRNA from 1 species